CUUGGGCAAUAUCACGAAUACUUUGCGGCAACUCGUUACCAAACAUUUACAGCCAGGUAGUAAUCGGUUGAUUGUCGCGACACAAAGAUUUAAACGCAGCAGCGGCCUCAGGUUUAAGUAUUCUGCGGCGUUUCAUUGAAAGCUCAUACAAAGCAUUACCCAAAAGGGUCAUUGCAUCAAUAGCUGAGGAUAAACAUCUGCAAUGGGG